GGGGGUGAAAUAGGCUCGACCUAGGUAAGUCGGGUAAAAGCAGCAUGUCGCGGAUGUAAGGUUGGCCGCGUUAACAAUCCUUACAAAAGAUAAACGCAAACACAGCGUUUGUUAAUCGUCUGGCUGCGGCGCCAGUAAUGGCUCCAGUAGCUGGAACGAUGCCAAUCUUCGUUCACUAAGAGCGAAGUCUCUCUCCAGGCAGCCUGUGGCCUGAAAGAGAGCCGGUAACAGGCUGGCUCCGGAGCAUUAGCCUUAUGACGCCGGGGCGAGACUCAAAAAGGCUGCGGCUUUGCUGAUCCUGUUUACCGGAGCGGUAAAGCCUAAGGCUAAAAGAUAAACUAAACAUGUAGCGGCUUUUAUCAGAUUAUCUGGGGACGGCGGUGCGAUGCCGCCCACCUCCACCA
rnacentral:tmRNA from 1 species